rnacentral:rRNA from 1 species
AGGUGGCAAGCGUUGUCCGGAAUUAUUGGGCGUAAAGCGCGCGCAGGUGGUUUCUUAAGUCUGAUGUGAAAGCACACGGCUUAACCGUGGAGGGUCAUUGGAAACUGGGAAACUUGAGUGCAGAAGAGGAUAGUGGAAUUCCAAGUGUAGCGGUGAAAUGCGUAGAGAUUUGGAGGAACACCAGUGGCGAAGGCGACUAUCUGGUCUGUAACUGACACUGAGGCGCGAAAGCGUGGGGAGCAA